ensembl:snoRNA
UUGACCCAUGAUGAGUACCGUAGAGUAUCUGAAACAGGACAUUUUGAUUAAACUCAAAUGAAUCUCUGAGGUCUUU